AUUGAACGCUGGCGGCAUGAUUUACACAUGCAAGUCGAACGGUAACAGGCCGCAAGGUGCUGACGAGUGGUGAACGGGUGAGUAAUGCAUCGGAACGUGCCCAGUCGUGGGGGAUAACUACUCGAAAGAGUAGCUAAUACCGCAUACGAUCUAUGGAUGAAAGCGGGGGACCGUAAGGCCUCGCGCGAUUGGAGCGGCCGAUGUCAGAUUAGGUAGUUGGUGGGGUAAAGGCUCACCAAGCCAACGAUCUGUAGCUGGUCUGAGAGGACGACCAGCCACACUGGGACUGAGACACGGCCCAGACUCCUACGGGAGGCAGCAGUGGGGAAUUUUGGACAAUGGGCGCAAGCCUGAUCCAGCAAUGCCGCGUGCAGGAAGAAGGCCUUCGGGUUGUAAACUGCUUUUGUACGGAACGAAACGGCUCUGGUUAAUACCCGGGGCUAAUGACGGUACCGUAAGAAUAAGCACCGGCUAACUACGUG
rnacentral:rRNA from 1 species